rnacentral:lncRNA from 1 species
AUUUUUUCCAUUAUAGUUGAUUUAUACUGUUCUAUCAAUUUCUAUUGUACAGCAGAGUGACUCAGUCAUACAUAUAUGUAUAUAUAUAUUUUUUCUCACAUUAUCCUCCAUCAUGUUCUAUCUCAAGUGACUGGAUAUAGUUCCCUGUGCUAUACAGUAGGAUCUCAUUGCUUAUCCAGUCCAAAUGCAAUAGUUUGCACCUAUUAACCCCAGAUUCCCAGUCCAUCCCACUCCCUUCCCUUCCCCCUUGGCAACCAUAAAUCUGUUCUCCAAGUACAUGCGUUUCUCUUCUAUGGAAAGGUUCAUUUGUGCCGUAUAUUAGAUUCCAGAUAUAAGCGAUAUCAUACGGUAUUUGUCUUUCUCUUUCACUCUCUUCUUUACCUCUGCCAAACACACCCAAUAAAAGGAUCACACACUUGUCCCUGGCUCUCUCAUCAGCUAUUGGAAGGAACUGGGUCAGAGAUCCUGGAAGCAUAUGGCCAGUGACAUUGUGGUGAAGGUGUACAUUAGUUUCCUAUUGGUGUUAUAACAAACUAUCACAAACUUAGAGGCUUUCAACCACACAUAGUUAUUAUCUCAUAGUUCUAUGGGUCAGAAAUCCAGGUCGGUUUGGAUUGUUUCUCUGCUUAGAGCUUCACAAGGCUGAAGUCCAAAUGUCAGUCAGCUGGGCUUCUAUUUGGAAGCUCUGGGGGACAAUCUGCUUCCAGACUCAUUCAGGUUGUUGGCAGAACUCAGUUCCCUGUGGUUGGAGGACUGAGGUCCGUAUUUCCUUAUUGAUUGUUGUUUGGGACUCAGUCUCAGCUUCUAGAGGCUGUCCUCAUUUUUUGGCUUACAGCCACCUUCCCCCAGCUUCAACAUCAGCAAAGGCAGAUCAAGUCCUCAUCUGCUUUGAAUCUCUAUGACCUCUCUUUCCAUCUCAUGUCUCUUGCUCUCCUCUUCUGUCACUUUAACUAACUAUUCCACAUUCCUCUUCCUCUUUUUAGGGUUCAUGUGAUUACACAGGGUCUACCAGGAUAACUUCCCUCUUUGAAGGUCAACUGAUUAGUAACCUUACUUGUAGCUACAGUGUGUCUUUACAGCAACACAUGGAUUAGUGCUCAAAUGUAUAACCAGGGUAUAAGAAUCUUGCAGGGACAACUUUAUGAUUCUGCUACUAGAAGAAAUGUGACAGGAACAUGGCGUCAGGCCAUCUGUAUAUAAGAGGAUGUUAAUCCAUCUCUUCUGCUGUCUCUGAGUUUAAACGGGGGCAAACACUUAUACUCCCAUAUCCUAAUGAGCUGUUAAGACACAUGCUAAUCAAUUACAAAAUAGGCUCAAUCAAUAUCAGCCCAUCACUUGCUCCUGCUCUGUAAGAACAGAAUUCACUGGUAGUGAGGACCAGUUCAGAGACAAAAUGCCAUUUCAAGACAACUACUCAUAGAGCUUGGCACUCAUUCCCUAGAAUUUGAGGAAUGCAGAAACAGCUAUCCGACUCAGGCCUGAAAAGUUAAGGAUGAGAGGCUUCCCCUGCCUGAUGCAGAGGGAAGAGUCACAGCUACAUAAAGAACAGUCUGCACUUCCAGAGUGUGAUAGAACAAAGAAAGAUACCUUCAAUUUCCCGAGGGCCAGGAGUGGACUUACUGGAGAAUGUCAGUCUCAGGUCCUCUUAAAAGCAUCUCUGCCCAAGAACACAAUUUUAAAGGGAUGAGAUGGUCCAACAAAGGAAGCAGAUAACUGAGGGUAAAAGCAUCGGAGGCCAGCCAGAGGAGGAAACUGUAGGAGGGACAACCCCAGUCAUGAGGAAGAGGGUCUCCAGAGAACCCAACAAGCACCGCACAAAGAAAGAAUCAAAAUCUGGAAUGCGCCAUAUCCAGAAAGCACCAACACUAGACCACAAACAUGGCGGCCAAUCUAGGCCAUUCUGUGUCUUCUCUAGUCCAGUCUCUAACUCUACUGACUCUGGAGAAGUGGAGAAAGAAGAAAGAGAAGUAGCCUAGGCCAACAUGAGCUGGAAGAGGGGGCAUAUUUUACAUUGUAAGACAGUUUAUAACAUUGUGAUUCUUACACUGGACUGGCUUGGACUGGAAGAACUGUGGUAAUGCCCUAAGAUUUCAUCUAGGGGUAGGUAAAGAACGAUCUGACAUAAGAUUAAAAGAAUAGUGAUAAAGAAUAAAUUUGAUUUGUACCUUCUUAAAUUAAGCAUAUCCAAAAUAGUUACAUGUUAUAUUGACAUAUAUUGGUAUCACUAUUUCUUGGUUGUUUUUUUGUCUUUUUAGGGCAGUACCUGCAGCAUAUGGAGGUUCCCAGGCAGGGGUCCACUCAGAGCUAUAGCCGCUGGCCUAUGCCAGAGCCACAGCAAUGCGGGAUCCGAGUCUCAUCUGCGACCUAUACCACAGCUCUCAGUAAUGCUGGAUCCUUAACCCACUGAGCGAGGCCAGGCACUGAACCCGCAUCCUCAUGGAUGUUAGUUGAGUUCGCUAGCUGCUGAGUCACAGCAGGAACUCCAGGAUCACUAUUUUAAUUUUUUAAAAUCUGUGCCCUUUUGAGUUUAUUUUCAUGCAUGGUGUGACGAUGUGUUCUAGUUUCAUUGAUUUGCAUGCAGCUGUCCAAGUUUCCCAGCAAUACUUGCUGAAAAGACUGUUUUUUUCCCAUUUUAUGUUCUUGCCUCCCUUGUCAAAGAUUAACUGACCAUAGGUGUCUGGGUUUAUUUCUGGGUUCUCUGUUCUGUUCCAUUGGUCUGUCUGUCUGUCUGUUUUGGUACCAGUACCACGCUGUCUUGAUGACUGUGGCUUUGUAAUAGUGCCUGAAGUCUGGGAGAGUGAUGCCUCCUGCUUGGUUUUUGUUCCUCAGGAUUGCUUUGGCAAUUCUGGGUCUUUUGUGUUUCCAUAUAAAUUUGUGGAUUGUUUGUUCUAGGUCUGUGAAAAACAUCAUGGGUAAUUUGAUAGGGAUUGCAUUCAAUCUGCAGAUUGCUUUGGGUAGUAUGGCCAUUUUUACAAUAUGAAUUUUUCCAACCCAGGAGCAUGGAAUACCUUUCCAUUUCUUUACAUCGUCUUUAAUUUCCUUGAUUAAUGUUUUAUAGUUCUCGGCAUAUAAGUCUUUCACCUCCUUGAUCAGGUGUAUAACCAGGUAUUUGAUUUUUGGGGGUGUGAUUUUAAAAGGUAUUGUGUUUUUGUAUCCUUUUCUAAUAUUCCAUUGUUAGUAUACAGAAAUGUGACGGAUAUAUCCUGCUACUUUGCUGAAUUUGUUGAUCAGUUCAAGUAAUUUUGGGGUUGAGUCCUUCAGGUUUUCUCUAUAGAGUAUCAUGUCAUCUGCAUACAGUGACGGUUUUACCUCUUCUCUUCCUAUUUGGAUGCCUUUUACUUCUUUUGUUUGUCUGAUUGCUGUGCCUAGGACUUCCAAUACUCUCUUGAAUAACAGUAGUGAGAGUGGGCAUCCCUGUCUUGUUCCAGAUUUUAGUGGGAAGGUUUUCAGCUUUUCCACUGAGUAUUAUAUUUGCUGUGGGUUUGUCAUAAAUGGCUUUAAUUAUGUUAAGGUAUGUUCCCUCUAUACCCAGUUUGGUAAGAGUUUUUAUCAUUAAUGGAUGUUGGACUUGGUCAAGUGCUUUUUCCGCAUCUAUUGAUGAGGUUUUUGACUUUUCUUUUGUUAAUGUGAUGUAUGACGUUAAUUGAUUAGAAUAUGUUGAACCAUCCUUGUGCACCUGGGAUGAAUCCCAUCUGGUCAUGGUGUAUGAUCUUUUUUAUAUGUUGUUGGAUUCAGUUAGAUAAAAUUUUGUUAAGAAUUUUUGCAUCUAUAUUCAUCAAAGAUAUUGGCCGAUUGUUUUCUUUUUUGGUGGUAUCUUUGUCUGGUUUUUGGAAUUAGGGUGAUGGUGGCAUCAUAGAAUGUCUU